ensembl:lncRNA
ACCAUGAGGGUGGAACCAUGAUGAUGGAUCCAUGAGGAUGGAACCAUGAGGAUGGAACCAUGAGGGUGGAACCAUGAGGGUGGUACCAUGAGGGUGGAACCAUGAUGAUGGAACCAUGAGGGUGGUACCAAGGGAAUGGAACCAUGAUGAUGGAUCCAUGAGGAUGGAACAAUGGGGAUGGAUCCAUGAGGCAGCCUGAGGUUAGAUCUUCAACACUACUGACCAAACACCAUCACUCUGGCCCUAGCAUGUGUGUGUUAACGUGUUUUAACGUGUGUGUGUGUGUGUGUGUGUGUGUGUGUGUGUGUGUGUGUGUGUGUGUGUGUGUGUGUGUGUGUGGUAUCGUGGUGUGAAAAAUAAUUGUUACUUUUUUUGCAAUUUAAAAACGAUUAAAAGUUGCCGGGGACAACAUUUCCCUGGACCCUAGGCUACUGAAAAUGUUCCCGGACCCUAGGCUACUGAAAAUGUUCCCGGACCCUAGGCUACUGAAAAUGUUCCCGGACCCUAGGCUACUGAAAAUGUUCCCGGACCCUAGGCUACUGAAAAUGUUCCCAGACCCUAGGCUACUGAAAAUGUUCCCAGACCCUAGGCUACUGAAAAGGUUCCCAGACCCUAGGCUACUGAAAAUGUUCCCAGACCCUAGGCUACUGAAAAUGUUCCCAGACCCUAGGCUACUGAAAAUGUUCCCAGACCCUAGGCUACUGAAAAUGUUCCCAGACCCUAGGCUACUGAAAAGGCUACUGAAAAUGUUCCCAGACCCUCGGCUACUGAAAAUGUUCCCUGACCCUAGGCUACUGAAAAUGUUCCCCGGACCCUAGGCUACUGAAAAUGUUCCCCGGACCCUCCGAUUUACAAAUUAAUCAGUGUGUGUGUGUGUGUGUGUGUGUGUGUGUGUGUGUGUGUGUGUGUGUGUGUGUGUGUGUGUGUGUGUGUGUGUGUGUGUUUGGGCAGAUUAGAAGUGUUGGGUCCUUCCUGGUAUGAAAAAGGGUGAAAGGUCACGAACCCGGGUUUGGGCAGAAUAGAAGCGUUGGUUUCUAUUAUUGAUGUUACUAUGUGGACCGGACUGGGUCUGUGUUUUUUAUUUUAUUUACCACAACUAGAACCCGUGGAACCGUCUAGACGUGUUGUUUCCUUGUGAUGAGAUUGCUGUGGAACAGGAUUAUUAUUAUUAUUGUUAUUGUUAUUAUUAUUAUGCAUCUGAUCAUCUAUUACUCUAAAUGACGACGAGCAAUAAAGUUGAGAUCCUUUUUCAAAUAUAUAUAUUGCAUGUUUUACUAAAAACGUUGGUCUUAGUCAAUAAAAAGAGUUUUUAAGACA